GACGAACGCUGGCGGCGUGCUUAACACAUGCAAGUCGAACGGAAAGGCCCUGCUUUUGUGGGGUGCUCGAGUGGCGAACGGGUGAGUAACACGUGAGUAACCUGCCCUUGACUUUGGGAUAACUUCAGGAAACUGGGGCUAAUACCGGAUAGGAGCUCCUGCUGCAUGGUGGGGGUUGGAAAGUUUCGGCGGUUGGGGAUGGACUCGCGGCUUAUCAGCUUGUUGGUGGGGUAGUGGCUUACCAAGGCUUUGACGGAUAGCCGGCCUGAGAGGGUGACCGGCCACAAUGGGCCUGAGAGACGGACCAGACGCGAACGGGGGGCAGCGGGGGGAAAUAUUACACAGUGAGCGGAAGUGUGAUACGGCAGCGCCGCGUUCGGGAUGACGGCCUUCGGGUUGUGAACCGCUUUCGCCUGAGACGAAGCGUUAGUGACGGUAAUGAAUAAAGAAGCACCGGCUAACUACGUG
rnacentral:rRNA from 1 species